GAUGAACGCUGGCGGCGUGCCUAAUACAUGCAAGUCGAACGCUGAAGGAAGGAGCUUGCUCUUUCCGGAUGAGUUGCGAACGGGUGAGUAACGCGUAGGUAACCUGCCUGGUAGCGGGGGAUAACUAUUGGAAACGAUAGCUAAUACCGCAUAACAGUAGAUGUUGCAUGACAACUAUUUGAAAGGGGCAAUUGCUCCACUACCAGAUGGACCUGCGUUGUAUUAGCUAGUUGGUGAGGUAACGGCUCACCAAGGCGACGAUACAUAGCCGACCUGAGAGGGUGAUCGGCCACACUGGGACUGAGACACGGCCCAGACUCCUACGGGAGGCAGCAGUAGGGAAUCUUCGGCAAUGGACGGAAGUCUGACCGAGCAACGCCGCGGGAGUGAAGAAGGUUUUCGGAUCGUAAAGCUCUGUUGUAAGAGAAGAACGAGUGUGAGAGUGGAAAGUUCACACUGUGACGGUAUCUUACCAGAAAGGGACGGCUAACUACGUG
rnacentral:rRNA from 1 species